rnacentral:lncRNA from 1 species
GUGCUUCUGAAAUGCUGUUGGGCAUCGUCCCUGCCUGGUGUCUGAGGCUUUCCUCCCUCCUUCAUGGGCAGGCAGUCCCCCGGGAGGGUCUUUCUCUGCUCCUCUCCAGCAUUCUGACCUACCUCAGAGGGCACAAGAUGGGGACCGAACACAAGAAAGCUCGCUCAGUCGUCCUGGCCUUCUCCUCCUGGCCAGCUCAGGCCAAAGCAUGUCUCCCCUGGAAUUUGAAUACUUCCUGAAAUUGCAACGCCAUCUCUAAAGCUCCUGGGCUCCUGCUUCCUCCUGGUGGAGAAAUUGCUUAUGCUUCGUCCCACAGUAAAAUUCCUGCACCUGUGGUUGACCAUAUGGUGACCUUGUGCCUGUGGCAGGCCGAGGAGGUCACAUGCAGCCUUCCCAGA